rnacentral:lncRNA from 1 species
AGGCGGCUCCUGAGCUGCUCCUCCUGCCGUGAGACCCUGGGGCGGACGGACAGACGGACGGACACAGACAGACAGAUGGACACGGAUGGACGGACAGACGGACGUCAGCCCCGCGCCCCCCACCCAGGAGGAGCUCAGGGUGUCAGGGGGCUCCCGGGGGCUCCAGGGUUGGCCGUGAUGGACCCCAGCCCACCCCAGCUCAGGCUCCCAGUUCAUCCCAGUUCAUCCCAGUCUACUCCAUCCCAGGCUCCCAGUUCAUCCCAGUCCAUCCUCCCUGGCCAUCCCAGUGCACCCCAGCCCGGGCUCCCCAUCCACCCCAGCCCAGGCUCCCAGUCCAUCCCGGUCCAUCCCAGUCCACCCAGCCCAGGCUCCCAGUUCAUCCCAGCCUGGGCUCGCCACCCAUCCCAGUCCAUCCCAGCCUGGGCUCCCCGCCCAUCCCAGUUCAUCCCAGUCCACCCCAGUCCAGGCUCCCAGUCCAUCCCAGCCCAGGCUCCCCAUCCAUCCCAGUCUACCCCAUCCCAGUCCACCCCAGUCCAUCCCAGUCCAUGCUCCCAGUCCAUCCCAUCCCAGGCUCCCAGUUCAUCCCAGUCCACCCCAGCCCAGGCUCCCUAUCUACCCCAGCCCAGGCUCCCUGUCCACCCCAGUCCAUCCCAGUCUACCCCAGCCCAGGCUCCCAGUCCAUCCCAGUCUGACCCAGCCCAGGCUCCCAGUUCAUCCCAGUCCACCCCAGUCCAUGCUCCCAGUCCAUCCCAGCCCAGGCUCCCCAUCCACCCCAGUCCAUCCCAGUCCGUCCCAGUCCACCCCAGCCCUGGCUACCCACGAUCCAGUCUGUGCGCACAGCAUCCUGCAGAUGGCCGGGCUGCAGCGCUGGGGGCUGUGGGCGCCCUCCUGCAGGACGAGGCGAUGCUGGGGGGCUGCCAGGAGCCCCCUGGCACCCCCCCCACCCCGACAGCUCCUACCAGUACCGGCUGUGGGUUGGACUGGGGGUCACUGGGGGUGCGCAGGCGGAGGAAGGAGAGCCCGAACUGCCCCUGCCUGCUGAAGGGCUGGCUGCAGGUGAGCCGCACCCGGUCCCAUUUCUGCCCCACCGCCGGCUCCAGGAAAUCCGCUGCAAAUUGGGGGGGGACACCAGGAGGGGGCUUCAGGGGUGGCCCCAAACCCCUCCACCCCAUAUG